GACCAAAAUGCAUGAGGGUUUAUAAAACUGGUUUUAGUAUCGGGGUUUCUAUAUCUAUAUAUAUAUAUCUAUAUAUCAUUUCAGAUGAAAACCCAAUAAAUCUAAUCUCCGAAAAAGAGCCUGAGUUUAGUGCCCCACAGCAGCUCAGAAUAUGGAUUGAUGUUCCAAAUGAUUUCCCGUGGAGGAAGUGUUUGUUGGACUACAAUGGUGUAGCAGCAACAUCAGAAUGUAUCCUAAAAAGCCACCCGGCCGCAACUUGGUAUAUCCCAUUGCGGAGUUCAAAAUUCAAAAUAAUCAACAAAGAAAAUGACAGAUGUCUUCAACCCGACCAAACUGUUGAUAUGUCGGAGAAGAUUGUAGUUAUUACUGGGCCUUGUCAUAAUAAAACUGAUGACCAAUGGGAGCACACACCAACAGGGCAACUAAAGUGGAGUACAGGUGGGUGUUUGACCAGCCAAGGAAAUGGAAAUUCUGUUCUGCUGACACCCUGCAAUUCAUCCCUUGCAGAGCAGAGGUUUGAGUUUGGACUGGUGGAUUAUAAUGACCAGCUGGACGAAUAUAAACUGUGGCCCCUGGAUUUAGAAAAUUACAAGAGUAGACAGAAGAAACUCAGGGAUGAUGAGCUAAAGGAGGCUAAGGAGGAAGUGAUGAAAACCUUGACGGUUGAGUUUAAACGAGAAAUCAAGGAAAAGAGAAGAGCGGCUGUUUUUUAUCUGGACAAAGGAACAGGGCCUUUAGCAUUUGUAAACUGGUGGCUUCUAGCGUGGAAGUUAUUGGGUUUGAACUCUAAGAAAGAAAGGUUUGAUAUUGUCCUGUUUACUCACCCUGACUCUAUUCCUCAUCUACCAAAAGAAUGCAAAGAAUACAGGGACAAUGUGAAAGAUUUGAAAGGAGUUGGAAAAUGUCUGUUUGUACCCCUGUAUGGAAUAUCUUACAGAGAUAAUAACAGAUAUGAUUCCUACGUGAAUAGCCAAUAUUGUCUUGUAAGCCCACAUUCUAGAUUUCUUUCUCAAUAUUCACAUAUACUCAGGGCUGAUAUUGAUACCUUCCCAACCCCUGGUAUAGUCGGAUCCUGGCCGGAUAGAGUUCUAGUCAACAAAUAUCAAGCAUACACCUUCAGAAACUCAAGUGGGAUAUCAAAGACAACAGAGGCCUUGAAGGAUGUUACAUCAUCAUUGGGAUUAAAACACAAUGGUUGGCAUGAUUUUGGUUCUAGUUGGUUUGGUCCAUCUGAGAAAAUAUUAAGAUUAUCCUUGAUAACGGUAGCUAUCUCCCGAUACCUGAGGGUUUAUUUGUUUGGGCCUGGUACACACUGCCGCUGUCCCAGUUGUACAGCACUGCCACAAGAUUGUCAAUGGGGUUCAGGAACAUAUGCUGGUACUAUACUCACAUAUUCACAGGAAAUUGCAAUAAAUCUAGUUUGGACUCAGGAAGAUUAUGACUCCUUGAAAGCAGAUGCUCGAGCUUCAUGUUUUCCAUACUGAUGAGCCAUUUAGCAAAUUCAGUUUUGAAAGCGGGCAGUAUAAAGAGUAUGAUAUGUCUGGUCUGAUCUUGUCUCGAGUACGGGACUAUGCAAUGCAUCUUGCGUUGAAAUCUUCGGGACAAGGAGUUGGAGAGAAGAUUGUUUCUGAGAAAUAUUCUAUUGGAAAGGAUGGAUCUUUGGCAGAUGUUUGUAUUAAGGACGGAGACAAAACCAAAGUAGAGAAGGAAGAUGAAUAGAUAAUUAGGAUUCGUCAAAAAAUUGGGGGGGGGGGAGUUUUACUCAUGGGGAAUAUUAAUUUGGCUUACCGUCCUGUGUUGCCUCACAAAGUCUUUAAUUGUACGGUACAGCUUGCUCUGUCUGGUUAGAAGUCGGCCCGGUAGUUAAACUAAACCGGAAUAGGAAAGCUUCUUCAGUUAUUUAACUACAGUGAUAACCAGAAAAUAAUGGAAUAGGAAGACGAGAUUAUAGCCAUACUUCAGUGCAUUUGAGGUUGUUACAAAGCAAAUAGCUGUACUACACAGUACACACUUAUUAAAUUACUGAAUAAGUGAAGUGGGUCUGUUUACACUUCACAAUUGUUGUGUCUCAUGUUCAGUGCACUAUUUAGAGUCAUAAUUUGAACCUAAAAGUCUUCUUCCUUAUCAUUUGCCCCCCUCCCUCUCCUUAAUCAGGCUAGAGUGGGGCUUUGCUCCCACUGCCCCCCCUUUCUUAGUUGCGCGCCUGCCUUAUAUGAUACAUCUGCACAUUGUUAUUGUUGUUUAUAUUUAGAUUAUGUAUUUUUAUGUGAUUUUGUGAGCUUAUAUUUGUUGAACAAAUAAGAAAUUGGAAUUUGC